AGUCAGUGUGACGGUGCCAGAGUGACGACAUCCAUUGGUGUGAGAGCGUCAGUGAAUGCGAGAGUGUCCGUCAAUGAGAGGGUGUCAGUCGGUCGGUGGGAGAGUGUCAGUCAUUGUGCGGGUGCAGGCCUUCGACAGCGAGGGUGGCGAUUCCUGGAGAAGAUGAACCCCCUCAUACCGACAGAGCAGAGACGAGUGAGCCUGAGAAGUGGUUGGUAUUUUCGGCAUCCCGAGAGCCGGUUGGAAUUUCGGCAUCCUCCGUCACGGGAUAAUCCAAGACGUGGAUAUUGGGCAAUGAAAAUGCAGAAGGAUGUGAUUGUGUUGGACCAGGAGAAGACAAGUUUAAAUUCAGUGUUAUAUCUGAAGUGACUGCUGUUUAUGCACUUAACCUUGUGACAGAGUAAAAACAGUGCCAGGAGCAUGUUAUUAUGUGAAAAAGUGUUUAUUCCCCUUUAAAAAUUUAUGAAAUGGCAAAGAGGCUAUGAAAGGAAGAUGUGGGUCUUCCUCUGUCCUGAGUGUGAGUGUCAGCAGUUAGCAGCCAAAGCAUAUGUGUCCCUUGUUCUCUUUGCUAGGACAGCAGGUAUUUCUGGAUCUAGGAACCUGGUCCUGAAAACUGCUGAGUAAAUUCCAACUAGUGUUUACUGGAAUCCACUAGAGGAGUGAUCCCUGAGCCCACAUUUAACUGAUCUCUGGGAGCUGUAUCCUGUUGGAGGCCCCAGUCCUGGAGGCUUCAUACCUCUUUCAAUUCUUGGUAACUUUGACUGGUGUUAAGGGUCACUCAGUACCUCAUGGGAGGAGGCCCUGACUGCUUUCAACUUUUAAAAUUAAUGGUUUUGAUCUUGAGAAUCUGGCCUGGGAGAUUUUAAUUUGAAUUUGCUGGUUUUAGCUUGAUCUUGAAACUGACUUGAAUGGGUUUUGUGCCUUCAGUACUGGAUGUUACUGUGUUAGAACCUUCCCUUUGUUGGUCUUGCAGGUGGAAGUCAGUCCUUUUUCUUAGGCAACUGUAUGCAGUGGACUGAGAUCAGGGAUUAUUUUGGCCAGGGAUAAUUGAAAUAAUAAAUAAAAUAAACCAAACCAAAGCAAAACAUAAAGCAAAACUUUGAGUUUGGAAUAGCUUCUGAGAUUCUGAGAGUAAUUGAAGUAACCCAGAAGAAAAUAUGCCAUGAAAUCUGUUUUCCAUUAUUGCAUGAGAUGGUAUGUCUUAAAAUUUGAUCAAAUCCAUUUUUUCAUGAUGAAGUGUUCUGGAUUGCAAGGCAGGAUGUAUUCUAUUACCAUCUGUAUGGCAGUUGUCUAGGUGUUAAGUGGGCAAUUUCCCCUUAUCUCUCUCCCUGAGAGAUCACAAUCACUCCUCCCUCAGCAGGGGGCAUCCCGUGAUAAGAGGCUAUUGAAUGUCACUGCAUGGCUGAUAAGAACUGUAAUAUCCCAUUGUGAGAUGCUCCGCCCAGAGGGAGGAGCCGAGCAUUGCUAUCCAGAUAUAAUCAGGAGAUUCUGACACACCAGCACAGCUUCUCCACUGGAUUCACCAGAGGAACAGCAGCUGCUUCUACUUCCACGGAUCUGCGGAGGAAGAAUCACCCUUCUUCUACAGGGCCCCCUGCUCCAACAGAACCACACCUGGCACCUCAGGAGGACUGCAGCCACUUUUCCAACUGGACUGCUGCCAACACCCUGACCAACAGGGUGUCAGGUUGAGUUCUGACUCUGUCAUUUUAGUGUACUGCAUUGUUUUUAUUUUAUCAUUUUAUGUUUUUCCCCCCUUCCCUAUUAAAGGACUGUUAUUUCCUGC